GUUAGGGCACGACACCGGAGAGGGAGCCUGAGAAACGGCUACCACAUCCAAGGAUGGCAGCAGGCGCGCAAAUUACCCAAUCCCGACACGGGGAGGUAGUGACAAUAAAUAACAAUACGGGGUUCUUUAGGAUCUCGUAAUUGGAAUGAGUACAAUUUAAAUCUCUUAACGAGGAACAAUUGGAGGGCAAGUCUGGUGCCAGCAGCCGCGGUAAUUCCAGCUCCAAUAGCGUAUAUUAAAGUUGUUGCAGUUAAAAAGCUCGUAGUUGAAUUUCGGGGUUAGUAGGUUGGUCAUGCCUCUGGUAUGUACUGGUCUCACUGAUUCCUCCUUCCUGAUGAGCCGUAAUGCCAUUAAUUUGGUGUUGCGGGGAAUUUGGACUGUUACUUUGAAAAAAUUAGAGUGUUUAAAGCAAGCUAACGCUUGAAUACAUUAGCAUGGAAUAAUGAAAUAGGACGUUCGAUCCUAUUUUGUUGGUUUCUAGGAUUGACGUAAUGAUUAAUAGGGAUAGUUGGGGGCAUUAGUAUUCAAUUGUCAGAGGUGAAAUUCUUGGAUUUAUUGAAGACUAACUACUGCGAAAGCAUUUGCCAAGGAUGUUUUCAUUAAUCAAGAACGAAAGUUAGGGGAUCGAAGACGAUCAGAUACCGUCGUAGUCUUAACCAUAAACGAUGCCGACUAGGGAUCGGAUGAUGUUAAUUUUUUAAUGACUC
rnacentral:rRNA from 1 species